rnacentral:rRNA from 1 species
AACGAACGCUGGCGGCAUGCCUAACACAUGCAAGUCGAACGAGACCUUCGGGUAUAGUGGCGCACGGGUGCGUAACGCGUGGGAACCUGCCCUUAGGUUCGGAAUAACUCCCCGAAAGGGGUUCUAAUACCGGAUAAUUUCUUCGUACCAAAGAUUUAUCGCCUUUGGAUGGGCCCGCAUUGGAUUAGCUAGUUGGUAGGGUAAAAGCCUACCAAGGCGACGAUCCAUAGCUGGUCUGAGAGGAUGAUCAGCCACACUGGGACUGAGACACGGCCCAGACUCCUACGGGAGGCAGCAGUGGGUAAUAUUGGACAAUGGGCGAAAGCCUGAUCCAGCAAUGCCGCGUGAGUGAUGAAGGCCUUAGGGUUGUAAAGCUCUUUUACCCGGGAUGAUAAUGACAGUACCGGGAGAAUAAGCUCCGGCUAACUCCGUG